UAGGGAAUCUUCGGCAAUGGACGGAAGUCUGACCGAGCAACGCCGCGUGAGUGAAGAAGGUUUUCGGAUCGUAAAGCUCUGUUGUAAGAGAAGAACGAGUGUGAGAGUGGAAAGUUCACACUGUGACGGUAUCUUACCAGAAAGGGACGGCUAACUACGUGCCAGCAGCCGCGGUAAUACGUAGGUCCCGAGCGUUGUCCGGAUUUAUUGGGCGUAAAGCGAGCGCAGGCGGUUAGAUAAGUCUGAAGUUAAAGGCUGUGGCUUAACCAUAGUACGCUCUGGAAACUGUUUAACUUGAGUGCAAGAGGGGAGAGUGGAAUUCCAUGUGUAGCGGUGAAAUGCGUAGAUAUAUGGAGGAACACCGGUGGCGAAAGCGGCUCUCUGGCUUGUAACUGACGCUGAGGCUCGAAAGCGUGGGGAGCAAACAGGAUUAGAUACCCUGGUAGUCCACGCCGUAACGAUGAGUGCUAGGUGUUAGACCCUUUCCGGGGUUUAGUGCCGUAGCUAACGCAUUAAGCACUCCGCCUGGGGAGUACGACCGCAAGGUU
rnacentral:rRNA from 1 species